rnacentral:misc_RNA from 1 species
GUAGGUGAACCUGCGGAAGGAUCAUUAAUGGGUAACGGCCUCGCGCCGCAAUCCCCACCCUUUGCAACCGCGGCCCGGAUUCGGCGCCUGGCGGGGACCCCCUCUGUUCGCGGAGGCCCCCCGCCUGCCGGAAUCAGCCAACCCUGCCUGGAAAACUGAAGUCUGAGAACAAGUUAAAUCAAACAAAACUUUCAACAACGGAUCUCUUGGUUCUGGCAUCGAUGAAGAACGCAGCAUCUGACUGACUUCA